UCGAUUUGGGGAAUCUUGCACAAUGGGGGAAGCCCUGAUGCAGCGACGCCGCGUGAGCGAUGAAGCCCUUCGGGGUGUAAAGCUCUUUCGGCAGGGAAGAUGAUGACGGUACCUGCAGAAGCAGCUGCGGCUAACUACGUGCCAGCAGCCGCGGUAAUACGUAGGCAGCGAGCGUUGUUCGGAGUU
rnacentral:rRNA from 1 species